rnacentral:rRNA from 1 species
UCGAGAAUUUUUCACAAUGGGGGAAACCCUGAUGGAGCGACGCCGCGUGGAGGAUGAAGGUUUUCGGAUUGUAAACUCCUGUCACUGCAGAACAAGGGUAUGCCAGUUAACAGCCGGCGUAUUUGAUGGUAUGCGGAGAGGAAGGGACGGCUAACUCUGUGCCAGCAGCCGCGGUAAGACAGAGGUCCCGAGCGUUGUUCGGAUUCAUUGGGCGUAAAGGGUGUGUAGGAGGUCGGGUAAGUCAGGUGUGAAAUCUCAGAGCUUAACUCUGAAACUGCGCUUGAUACUGCCCGGCUAGAGGAUCGGAGGGGGUAUCGGAAUUUAUGGUGUAGCAGUGAAAUGCGUAGAUAUCAUAAGGAACACCGGUGGCGAAGGCGGAUACCUGGAAGAUUCCUGACUCUGAAACACGAAAGCCAGGGGAGCAAACGGGAUUAGAUACCCCCGUAGUCC